CUAAAAUAACAAUUACAUAACGGUAAUUGAAAAUUUUGGCGUUAUGUUCACCGUUAUGUUAGCGUUAUGUUAAGUUUAAAGCUUUAUGCCCAAAACUAUUUGUAUGAUAUUUGUAAAGCGUUAUGUUUAACCGUUAUGUUUACAAAAUGGCGCGAAUCUAAAGGAUUUUUGCAAUUAGAUUUUUUGUUUAUAAUGUCUCUACUAUUUUGAUUUACUUAUUUAUUUACGUACGGUAUUUACCAUUUACUAAGUAACUUAGCUAUAAAACAGCAUUUUGGUUGUUAAUUAAUAUAUAUUUAUUGUAUAUUUGGUUCUGAAGCCCAUAACUGAUUGAUUUAACGUAUCCUUGUUUUGGGCAGCUUCUGGGAUGUUUCCAAGAUAUUUGUGGAUUUGGGCAAUAAGUUUUAUUAUUUAAAAAAUUCAUUUUAGUUCUGCAGUCUUUUCAUAGCAAUGCAAAGUACUUUUGACUUUAUUAAUGUUAAUUUUUACCAAAGUUAAUUUGUUUAAUUAUUUUCUUGGUUAUGAAAAAUGAUUUAAUAUAAAUAUAUUAAGGUAUUAAACUGCAUGAAUUUUUUUUGUUUAAUUAAACUUUUAUUAUCAUAAAAAUGUUCAAGGUUAGUUUGAGGAAUUAUUUGGAAAUCGGAAAAAUGGAAAAAACAUUUAAUUUGUUUAUGCUGCAUUUAUACUUCUUGUAUUGAAGAUGCAUUCCUAAAAAUUUCAAAAUUUUAAUUUACUGUAUAUUGUGCCAAUUUUCGGUCCGUAAAUUGACCAAUAAGUUCCCUGAAAUAGACUAAGUCUUUAAUAUUUGAAAUUAUUUUGAAAGAAAAAAUUAUUUAUUGUUAAGUUGAAAUUCUGAAGAAAUAUAUUAUAUGAUAUUUUUAUAAUAAAUUUUUUCUAGUAAUAUAAUAUAAAUUAGUGUAGUAUUAUUAAACUAAUUAAAUUGUGCUAAAUAAUGUUGUUUAAUAAUGUUGUUUAAUACUUGUGUAAUAAUGGUGUUUACCUCUUACCGUCUGACCUGUCUGUUUAUUAUUACUGUUUUUAACAUUAAUUUUGUAUUGCAAGUAUUAAAAAAUGUUAAAUAUACUAUUUGUAAAAUUAAAGUAGUAUAAACUAAUAAUAACUGCUUUACUUAUUUCUUCAAUAGUUAAUAGUUGAAAAUAAUAAAGGCUGUUGUUGUCAAAUUUCUUGGGGAAAGAAAAUUGUUAUUGCUUGUAAUAUUGCUGACAUUUUAACUAAUGUGUGAUUCACUACAUGAAUACUUAUGCUAAAGUUUAUAUGGUCCACAAGUUAUCUUUAAUAAAACAGAAUAUGAUGUAAGGAGUUGAAGAGGUAUCGAAAUGGAUGUUCAACUCUUGAUCAGUACAUUUGUUUACUAUUUGCUAGAUUUAACAUAUUCUUGUUUUGGGCGGCUUCUGAGAUGUUAGCAAGAUAUUUGAGACUUUUUGCAAUUGGCUUUAUUAUCUAAAAAAUGCAUUUUUCUUCUGCAAUCUUUUCAAAGCAAUGCAAAUUACUUUUGAAUUUAUAAAUUUUAAUAAGUUAUUUUAUUCAAUUAUUUUGUAAAUAAUUUAUUCAAUUGUUU